GUUAAUAUUCAGUAUGGUAGGAGUUAGGGAGAGAAAUAUUCUAUUAGAAAGCUUUAAGGUGAAACUCUGAAUUUGGUUUCUAGGAACAUCUUUCAUUGCUAUAGCUGCAGGCUUUUCCAAAAUUCAAAGUUACCUUCAGAAGUCAUCAAGGAUAGUAAGAGAGGAAUAAAUGCACUGGUGAAAGGUAUUUGAGGCCGUGCCAGGGAUGCUCCCUGGGAUGGGGCUGCCAGGGGCGGGGAGAAGAGUCCCACCACAGAAAUGCAGAGCUGUGAAAAUCCUCCAGAAGGCUACGAGAGAUUCCAGCACCUCCUGGGCUAUUGCUGCUGACCCAGGGUCAGGCACGGGCAGACACCUCACAGCUGCAUCGCUUCGCCUUCCUUUUCCCAGUGGAAAUUCCUGCAGGGAACGGAUCGCCCCAGACAGCGUAGCUGGAGCCUGGGAAAACACGUGCUGCUUCGGAGUAGUUCUUUUAAAAUAUGGUGAGGACUUAGCUAAUGCAUUCCACCUGCCAGAGUCACCAGGGGAACUCCAGAGACAAGCUUCAAGCUGCUCUAAAACCGCUUCUAGUAAGACAUCUAUUGAACUGAUAAACAGCAAAGACAAAGGAAGGAACAUUUCUCAUUAAAGCCAUUCAGGCAGCACUGUGGUACCACAUCACAUCUGCUUCUGCUCUGCUUCUGUUCUCUGAAGUGUGACCACGAGAUCGAUUAGACCUGAUAGUAAACCUCAGGUCUGAGCUGGUCCAGACCAACAGGGCUGAAGUGCUGAUACUUUGGCCACUCAUCUGCACUGCCCAGGUGUUUGCUGCCUUUCUUUCAGGUGAGAUUUCACACUUGUUUGGUUUCUAAGAAUUACACUUUUCAAGGAGCUCAUGGCUGUGACAUAGUUCCACACAGUUGACAUAGUUUAUGCAACUCUAAGUCACAAUAAGAGUCCUACAGCAGUUCCACAGCAUGUUCUACAAAGCUUUAGUGCUGUACACUGGGCUAGUUCAAUCAUCU
rnacentral:lncRNA from 1 species